rnacentral:rRNA from 1 species
GAUGAACGCUAGCGGCAGGCCUAAUACAUGCAAGUCGAACGGUGUAGCAAUAUACAGUGGCGCACGGGUGCGUAACACGUAUGCAACCUACCUAUUAUUGGGGGAUAGCCUUUGGAAACGGAGAUUAAUACCGCAUAAGACAGUAACAUGGCAUCAUGUAGCUGUUAAAGCUUCGGCGAUGAUAGAUGGGCAUGCGUCCAAUUAGUUAGUUGGUGAGGUAAUGGCUCACCAAGACGAUGAUUGGUAGGGGAUAUGAGACGAUAAUCCCCCACACUGGCACUGAGAUACGGGCCAGACUCCUACGGGAGGCAGCAGUAGGGAAUAUUGGGCAAUGGACGGAAGUCUGACCCAGCCAUGCCGCGUGCAGGAUGACGGCGUUAUGCGUUGUAAACUGCUUUUUUAUAGGAAGAAGGAGACCUUGCGAGGUUUGGUGACGGUACUAUAAGAAUAAGCACCGGCUAACUCCGUGCCAGCCGCCGCCGUAACAC